GUUAUGGCUUCAAACAAAUGUUCAAUGUUUCUUUCCAGAGAUUAUUAAAGUGAAAGAAGUGAAGGUCCCAGAUUCCCUAAAGGAAAAAGCACCUGAAACCAAAAAAGAUGAAAAGCUCCCCAAAGCAGGCAAAGAAGUCAAGCCUAAGCCCCCACGUAUGUCAUACGCAUGCCAAAUGAAUGAAGGAAGGAAGGAAUGAAUACAUAAAAAAACAACU
rnacentral:lncRNA from 1 species